rnacentral:rRNA from 1 species
AACGAACGCUGGCGGCAGGCCUAACACAUGCAAGUCGAACGCCGUAGCAAUACGGAGUGGCAGACGGGUGAGUAACGCGUGGGAACAUACCCCUCGGUUCGGAAUAACUCAGGGAAACUUGAGCUAAUACCGGAUACGUCCGAGGUUUUAAUCGACCUAGGAGAAAGAUUUAUCGCCGGAGGAUUGGCCCGCGUCUGAUUAGCUAGUUGGUGAGGUAAUGGCUCACCAAGGCGACGAUCAGUAGCUGGUCUGAGAGGAUGAUCAGCCACAUUGGGACUGAGACACGGCCAAACUCCUACGGGAGGCAGCAGUGGGGAAUAUUGGACAAU